rnacentral:rRNA from 1 species
AGACAGCAGUCGCCGCGGGAAUACGAAGGGGGCUAGCGUUGCUCGGAAUCACUGGGCGUAAAGGGUGCGUAGGCGGGUCUUUAAGUCAGGGGUGAAAUCCUGGAGCUCAACUCCAGAACUGCCUUUGAUACUGAAGAUCUUGAGUUCGGGAGAGGUGAGUGGAACUGCGAGUGUAGAGGUGAAAUUCGUAGAUAUUCGCAAGAACACCAGUGGCGAAGGCGGCUCACUGGCCCGAUACUGACGCUGAGGCACGAAAGCGUGGGGAGCAAACCGGAUUAGAUACCCGCGUAGUCCCUGUCUCUUAUAC